ACCGCACUGUAACUUUGUAAGGCUUCGUUUGGGAUUACGGAAAGAUUGCGUUACGUGCGGUGAGAAAGUACGUUAGAAAAAUAUCUUGUUUGUUUCCGUACGUAAUAUUGUGUUCCGUAUAUCGCAGUGAGUCGGUUACGAUAUAUUUUCUGCGGUCCCACCGGAGAACGCAGAAGCAUAUCCCUAUAUGCUUUUUUCUCAACUCUAUUCUAUCUAAUAGCGUUAGAUAGGCCUAAAUACCAAACUAAGCCUAAGAGCGACGCGAAAAAGCUCCAAAUUUGAAUAGAG
rnacentral:lncRNA from 1 species